AUUGAACGCUGGCGGCAUGCUUUACACAUGCAAGUCGAACGGCAGCGCGGGCUUCGGCCUGGCGGCGAGUGGCGAACGGGUGAGUAAUGCAUCGGAACGUGCCCAGUAGUGGGGGAUAGCCCGGCGAAAGCCGGAUUAAUACCGCAUACGACCUGAGGGUGAAAGCGGGGGACCGAAAGGCCUCGCGCUAUUGGAGCGGCCGAUGUCGGAUUAGCUAAUUGGUGGGGUAAAGGCUUACCAAGGCGACGAUCCGUAGCUGGUCUGAGAGGACGACCAGCCACACUGGGACUGAGACACGGCCCAGACUCCUACGGGAGGCAGCAGUGGGGAAUUUUGGACAAUGGGGGCAACCCUGAUCCAACCAUGCCGCGUGCGGGAAGAAGGCCUUCGGGUUGUAAACCGCUUUUGUUCGGGAAGAAAUCCUCUGGGCUAAUACCCCGGGGGGAUGACGGUACCGGAAGAAUAAGCACCGGCUAACUACGUG
rnacentral:rRNA from 1 species